AGGACGAACGCUGGCGGCGUGCUUAACACAUGCAAGUCGAGCGGUAAGGCCCUUUCGGGGGUACACGAGCGGCGAACGGGUGAGUAACACGUGGGUGACCUGCCCUUAGCUCUGGGAUAAGCCUGGGAAACUGGGUCUAAUACCGGAUAUGACCUCGCGAUGCAUGUCGUGGGGUGGAAAGCCUUGUGCGGCUAGGGGAUGGGCCCGCGGCCUAUCAGCUUGUUGGUGGGGUGAUGGCCUACCAAGGCGACGACGGGUAGCCGGCCUGAGAGGGCGACCGGCCACACUGGGACUGAGACACGGCCCAGACUCCUACGGGAGGCAGCAGUGGGGAAUCUUGCGCAAUGGGCGAAAGCCUGACGCAGCGACGCCGCGUGAGGGAUGACGGCCUCGGUUGUAACCUCUUUCAGCCCUGACGAAGCGAAAGUGACGGUAGGGCAGAAGAAGCGACCGGCCAACUACGCGCCAGCAGCCGCGGUAA
rnacentral:rRNA from 1 species